CCGCGGCGCCGGUGGGGUUGUUGGGGGAGCAGAAGAAGAUGAGGUCCGUGCCCUUGCACUUGGCCAGGUCGGGGAAGAAGCCGUUGUCAGCAGAGCACAUCAUGUACUGGAUGUUGUCGAAGCCGACGC
rnacentral:SRP_RNA from 10 species